GAUGAAGAACGCAGCGAAAUGCGAUAAGUAAUGUGAAUUGCAGAAUUCAGUGAAUCAUCGAAUCUUUGAACGCACCUUGCACCCUUUGGUAUUCCGAAGGGUAUGCUCGUUUGAGUGUCAUUGUACUCUCACACUUCCGAUCGUUUGGAUCGGGAGCGGUGGACUUGGGUGUUGCUGCUUUACUGUGGCUCACCUUAAAUGCAUUAGUGCACCUUUCGGUUGGACAUAGUACGGCGUGAUAAGUGUCUUCGCCGGCACCUCACAGAGGGUGGCUGAUCGGGAGCUCUGUGCUUCAAACCGUCCUCGGAAAACAGCUGACAACUUGACCUCAAAUCGAGUAGGACUACCCGCUGAACUUAAGCAUAUCAAUAAGCGGAGGA
rnacentral:misc_RNA from 1 species